UACGAAGGGUGCAAGCGUUACUCGGAAUUACUGGGCGUAAAGCGUGCGUAGGUGGUUUGUUAAGUCUGAUGUGAAAGCCCUGGGCUCAACCUGGGAAUUGCAUUGGAUACUGGCAGGCUAGAGUGCGGUAGAGGAUGGCGGAAUUCCCGGUGUAGCAGUGAAAUGCGUAGAGAUCGGGAGGAACAUCUGUGGCGAAGGCGGGUCUCUGGGCCGAUACUGACGCUGAGGAGCGAAAGCGUGGGGAGCAAACAGG
rnacentral:rRNA from 1 species